rnacentral:rRNA from 1 species
CUAGUAACGGCGAGUGAAGCGGCAACAGCUCAAAUUUGAAAUCUGGCUCUCGGGCCCGAGUUGUAAUUUGUAGAGGAUACUUUUGAUGCGGUGCCUUCCGAGUUCCCUGGAACGGGACGCCAUAGAGGGUGAGAGCCCCGUCUGGUUGGAUGCCAAAUCUCUGUAAAGUUCCUUCGACGAGUCGAGUAGUUUGGGAAUGCUGCUCUAAAUGGGAGGUAUAUGUCUUCUAAAGCUAAAUACCGGCCAGAGACCGAUAGCGCACAAGUAGAGUGAUCGAAAGAUGAAAAGCACUUUGAAAAGAGAGUUAAAAAGUACGUGAAAUUGUUGAAAGGGAAGCGUUUAUGACCAGACUUGGGCUUGGUUAAUCAUCUGGGGUUCUCCCCAGUGCACUUUUCCAGUCCAGGCCAGCAUCAGUUUUCCCCGGGGGAUAAAGACUUCGGGAAUGUGGCUCUCUUCGGGGAGUGUUAUAGCCCGUUGUGUAAUACCCUGGGGGGGACUGAGGUUCGCGCAUCUGCAAGGAUGCUGGCGUAAUGGUCAUCAACGACCCGUCUUGAAACACGGACCAAGGAGUCGUCUUCGUAUGCGAGUGUUCGGGUGUCAAACCCCUACGCGUAAUGAAAGUGAACGCAGGUGAGAGCUUCGGCGCAUCAUCGACCGAUCCUGAUGUUCUCGGAUGGAUUUGAGUAAGAGCAUACGGGGCCGGACCCGAAAGAAGGUGAACUAUGCCUGUAUAGGGUGAAGCCAGAGGAAACUCUGGUGGAGGCUCGCAGCGGUUCUGACGUGCAAAUCGAUCGUCAAAUAUGGGCAUGGGGGCGAAAGACUAAUCGAACCUUCUAGUAGCUGGUUUCCGCCGAAGUUUCCCUCAGGAUAGCAGUGUUGAACUCAGUUUUAUGAGGUAAAGCGAAUGAUUAGGGACUCGGGGGCGCUAUUUAGCCUUCAUCCAUUCUCAAACUUUAAAUAUGUAAGAAGCUCUUGUUGCUUAAUUGAACGUGAGCAUUCGAAUGUAUCAACACUAGUGGGCCAUUUUUGGUAAGCAGAACUGGCGAUGCGGGAUGAACCGAACGCGAGGUUAAGGUGCCAGAGUAGACGCUCAUCAGACACCACAAAAGGUGUUAGUACAUCUUGACAGCAGGACGGUGGCCAUGGAAGUCGGAAUCCGCUAAGGACUGUGUAACAACUCACCUGCCGAAUGUACUAGCCCUGAAAAUGGAUGGCGCUCAAGCGUCUCACCCAUACCUCGCCCUCA